UACGUAGGGUGCGAGCGUUAAUCGGAAUUACUGGGCGUAAAGCGUGCGCAGGCGGUUUUGUAAGACAGGCGUGAAAUCCCCGGGCUCAACCUGGGAAUGGCGCUUGUGACUGCAAAGCUAGAGUGCGGCAGAGGGGGAUGGAAUUCCGCGUGUAGCAGUGAAAUGCGUAGAUAUGCGGAGGAACACCGAUGGCGAAGGCAAUCCCCUGGGCCUGCACUGACGCUCAUGCACGAAGCGUGGGAGCAACAGG
rnacentral:rRNA from 1 species